UUGAUUUACAUUUUGACACAUGGAAGUAAAAAAUAACAAAAUAUUACUUAACUCAAGGGACAGAGUUGCCAUUGCUCCUUUGAUAUCUGAACAGUGCAGGUGCAUCACAUAUGGAACAGCACGGUAUUUCUUGAAUAUCUUCUUUCCAGAGAAACAAAAAUCUAUUGAAGUUUCGAAAUGUGCCGGUUCUUCAAUGUAUCCAUUCUUGAACCAGACAUAUUUAAAAAGAUUAUAAAAUCGUGGAGAACAUGGCUGUAUACGCAUCAAGGAUUACUUGCAGGACAAUGCCCGCUCCAAGAGCUAAUAACAGUACAUUGAAACUUUCUUAGCGGAUACAAAUACAUUUGUAAAC